ACACCCUCAAGCUACGCUUGGUGUUGGGCGUCUGUCCUCGCUUUCCGCGAGGACUCGCCCCAAAUUCAUUGGCAGCGGCAUCGCCGGCUUCUCGCGCAGCACAUUGCGCUUGAGAAGGUCCCCGGUGGGCUCGCAUCCAGCAAGAACCCCCCCA
rnacentral:misc_RNA from 1 species